rnacentral:rRNA from 1 species
CCUACGGGAGGCAGCAGUGGGGAAUAUUGGACAAUGGGCGAAAGCCUGAUCCAGCCAUGCCGCGUGUGUGAAGAAGGCCUUCGGGUUGUAAAGCACUUUCAGUGGGGAAGAAAGCCUUGGGGCUAAUACCCUCGAGGAAGGACAUCACCCACAGAAGAAGCACCGGCUAACUCCGUGCCAGCAGCCGCGGUAAUACGGAGGGUGCGAGCGUUAAUCGGAAUUACUGGGCGUAAAGCGCGCGUAGGCGGUCUGAUAAGCCGGUUGUGAAAGCCCCGGGCUCAACCUGGGAACGGCAUCCGGAACUGUCAGGCUAGAGUGCAGGAGAGGAAGGUAGAAUUCCCGGUGUAGCGGUGAAAUGCGUAGAGACCGGGAGGAAUACCAGUGGCGAAGGCGGCCUUCUGGACUGACACUGACGCUGAGGUGCGAAAGCGUGGGUAGCAAACAGGAUUAGAUACCCGAGUAGUC